UGGGGAAUCUUGCGCAAUGGCCGUAAGGCUGACGCAGCGACGCCGCGUGUGGGAGGAAGCUCUUCGGGGUGUAAACCACUGUUGCCCGGGACGAACAUCCCCUUUCGAGGGGACUGACGGUACCGGGCGAGGAAGCACCGGCUAACUCCGUGCCAGCAGCCGCGGUAAUACGGAGGGUGCGAGCGUUGUCCGGAAUCACUGGGCGUAAAGGGCGCGUAGGCGGCAGGAGUAGUCAAUGGUGAAAGUUCGAGGCUCAACCUCGAAUCGGCCGUCGAUACUCUCCUGCUCGAGCACAGUAGAGGCAGGUGGAAUUCCGGGUGUAGCGGUGGAAUGCGUAGAGAUCCGGAAGAACACCGGUGGCGAAGGCGGCCUGCUGGGCUGUGGCUGACGCUGAGGCGCGACAGCGUGGGGAGCAAACAG
rnacentral:rRNA from 1 species